rnacentral:rRNA from 1 species
UACGUAGGGCGCAAGCGUUAUCCGGAAUUAUUGGGCGUAAAGAGCUCGUAGGCGGUUGUCGCGUCUGCCGUGAAAGUCCGGGGCUCAACUCCGGAUCUGCGGUGGGUACGGGCAGACUAGAGUGAUGUAGGGGAGACUGGAAUUCCUGGUGUAGCGGUGAAAUGCGCAGAUAUCAGGAGGAACACCGAUGGCGAAGGCAGGUCUCUGGGCAUAACUGACGCUGAGGAGCGAAAGCAUGGGGAGCGAACAGG